GCGCGGGUGGCGGAAUGGUAGACGCGCUGGCUUCAGGUGCCAGUGUCCGCAAGGGCGUGGGGGUUCGACUCCCCCCUCGCGCACCA
rnacentral:tRNA from 2 species